rnacentral:rRNA from 1 species
CCUACGGGUGGCAGCAGUGAGGAAUAUUGGUCAAUGGACGAGAGUCUGAACCAGCCAAGUAGCGUGAAGGAUGACUGCCCUAUGGGUUGUAAACUUCUUUUAUAUGGGAAUAAAAUGUUCCACGUGUGGGAUUUUGUAUGUACCAUAUGAAUAAGGAUCGGCUAACUCCGUGCCAGCAGCCGCGGUAAUACGGAGGAUCCGAGCGUUAUCCGGAUUUAUUGGGUUUAAGGGGAGCGUAGGUGGAUUGUUAAGUCAGUUGUGAAAGUUUGCGGCUCAACCGUAAAAUUGUAGUUGAAACUGGCAGUCUUGAGUACAGUAGAGGUGGGCGGAAUUCGUGGGGUAGCGGUGAAAUGCUUAGAUAUCACGAAGAACUCCGAUUGCGAAGGCAGUUCACUGGACUGCAACUGACACUGAGGCUCGAAAGUGUGGGUAUCAAACAGGAUUAGAUACCCGAGUAGUC